AAUCGUCUUUCGUGUUGUAUCUGCUAUCUUAUUCCUAUUUUCCUGCAACGUAUUUACUAGCUUUUAAUCAAUGUUUCUAAUUGGUGAUUUCAAAAAUAAAGAUGAUGUUUUCAACUUUAGGCAAGAGUAAUUCCACUUGCCCAUUCAAUACAUGAGUUUUCCGGGUCAUGUAUGUAUUGCUAUCCUGCAAAAGAUGUUGAAGGUUAAAGAUAUAUUCUAACAUAUGUUUUCUUGUUUGUAAGAACUUCUCUGGACAACCAAAUUGUAAUGACCCUAAAUGUAAUGACCCCAAAAAUUAGACCCAAACUAUCCCCAAAGGCCAUUUUGCCUUUCUUUAAAAGAGAGAGAGAGAGAGAGAGAGAGAGAGAGAGAGAGAGAGAGAGAGAGAGAGAGAGAGAGAGAGAGAGAGAGAGAGAGAGAGAGAGAGAGAGAGAGAGAGAGAAGAGGAAGGGAGAAAGCUCACCUGAGCUCGUCGCCGGAGCAACCGUGUGCCGUGUGAGCUCGUCACCACCGUUCGCUGCAGCUUAGAAUCGCCGGAAACCGCCAUGGCAGUUAAGCUUAGUUUCGUCCGUUUAGUAAUUCGCCGAUAACUCUCUAACCGUUGCGAAUCUCGUGCAUCCAAGACCAUCAUCGUGUUCCUCUCGUCAAGACGAAGCCGUAGACACCAACCACGCCUCAAUCGGAGCCCGGAAGAAGCCGCACGCGCCUCCCGAAUAUUCGCCCAGAGCGCGUGAAACACACGCGCCGCCGCCGUCCGCCGCAACUCCGCCGCCGGACCACCAUCCUCCGCCGCAACUCCGCCGCCGGACCACCGUCCUCCGCCGCAGCUCCGCCGUCGCCGCCGGCCAACCUUCCGAUUUGGAGUCCAUUUGAGCAGCUGGAGUUCAUAUAUACCACUUCUCUUCAUUGCUAAGGUGAGACCGACGAGCAGGAGUGAUUAUACCGAACCGGUGCUUUUGGGCUUUUACUACUAUUGGGCUUUUGGGCUUCUAUCGUUUUAUCGCUUUUAUCGUUAUCGGGCCUCUAGGCCUUUGGGCUUUUAUCGUUUAUGUUAUUUCGUAUUUCGGACUCUCGGUUUAUGUCGUACUUUAUGUUUCAGAUUUUAUUUUAUAUUAUGGAAUUCAAGCGUGGAUGUUGACUUUCAAAUAUUUAUAUAUGGAUAUUUCAGAUA